rnacentral:rRNA from 1 species
AGGAAAGCAGGGGAUCGCAAGACCUUGCGCUUUUGGAGCGGCCGAUGUCUGAUUAGCUAGUUGGUGAGGUAAAGGCUUACCAAGGCUUCGAUCAGUAGCUGGUCUGAGAGGACGACCAGCCACACUGGGACUGAGACACGGCCCAGACUCCUACGGGAGGCAGCAGUGGGGAAUUUUGGACAAUGGGGGAAACCCUGAUCCAGCCAUGCCGCGUGAGUGAAGAAGGCCUUCGGGUUGUAAAGCUCUUUCAGCCGGAACGAAAAGGUUACGGUUAAUACCCGUGACUAAUGACGGUACCGGAAGAAGAAGCACCGGCUAACUACGUGCCAGCAGCCGCGGUAAUACGUAGGGUGCGAGCGUUAAUCGGAAUUACUGGGCGUAAAGCGUGCGCAGGCGGUUUUGUACUUCAUAUGUGAAAUCCCCGGCCUCAACCUGGGAACUGCGUUUGAAACUACCAGGCCU